rnacentral:rRNA from 1 species
UACGGGGGAUGCAAGCGUUAUCCGGAAUUAUUGGGCGUAAAGCGUUCGUAGGUGGUUUUGUAAGUCUUUUGUUAAAGCGUGAGGCUUAACCUCAUAACGGCAGGAGAAACUACGAGACUUGAGUAUGGUAGGGGUAACAGGAAUUCCUAGUGUAGCGGUGAAAUGCGUAGAUAUUAGGAAGAACACCAGCGGCGAAAGCGUGUUACUGGGCCAAGACUGACACUGAGGGACGAAAGCUAGGGGAGCGAAAGGG